rnacentral:rRNA from 1 species
CAGCCGCCACGGGAAUACAGAGGGUGCAAGCGUUAAUCGGAAUUACUGGGCGUAAAGCGCGCGUAGGUGGUUUGUUAAGUUGGAUGUGAAAUCCCCGGGCUCAACCUGGGAACUGCAUCCAAAACUGGCAAGCUAGAGUAUGGUAGAGGGUGGUGGAAUUUCCUGUGUAGCGGUGAAAUGCGUAGAUAUAGGAAGGAACACCAGUGGCGAAGGCGACCACCUGGACUGAUACUGACACUGAGGUGCGAAAGCGUGGGGAGCAAACAGGAUUAGAUACCCCCGUAGUCCCUGUCUCUUUACA